rnacentral:rRNA from 1 species
UCGGGAAUAUUGCGCAAUGGAGGAAACUCUGACGCAGUGACGCCGCGUGCAGGAAGAAGGUUUUCGGAUUGUAAACUGCUUUAGACAGGGAAGAAAAAGGACAGUACCUGUAGAAUAAGCUCCGGCUAACUACGUGCCAGCAGCCGCGGUAAUACGUAGGGAGCAAGCGUUACCCGGAUUUAUUGGGUGUAAAGGGUGCGUAGACGGGAAGUCAAGUUAGUUGUGAAAUCCCUCGGCUCAACUGAGGAACUGCAACUAAAACUAACUUUCUUGAGUGCUGGAGAGGAAAGUGGAAUUCCUAGUGUAGCGGUGAAAUGCGUAGAUAUUAGGAGGAACACCAGUGGCGAAGGCGACUUUCUGGACAGUAACUGACGUUGAGGCACGAAAGUGUGGGGAGCAAACAGGAUUAGAUACCC